GGUCAAGUUAUUAAGGGUGCAGGGCGGAUGCCUUGGCACCGGGAGCCGAUGAAGGACGUGAUAAGCUGCGAUAAGCUAUGGGGAGUUGCACGUAAACUUUGAUCCAUAGAUUUCCGAAUGAGGAAACUCACCAUGAGUAAUGUCAUGGUAUCUUCGAGUGAAUACAUAGCUCGUUGAGGGGAACUCGGGGAACUGAAACAUCUAAGUACCCGAAGGAAGAGAAAGAAAUUCGAUUCCGCUAGUAGCGGCGAGCGAACGCGGAACAGCCCAAACCUAAGAAGUUCGCUUCUUAGGGGUUGCGGACAUAUCAUCAGGAAGAGGUUAUUACAGACGAAGAGUUUUGGAAAGCUCCGCCACAGAAGGUAACAGCCCUGUAGUCGAAGUGAGAAGACUUCCGAUAUGAUCCAGAGUACCACGGGACACGUGAAACCCCGUGGGAAGCAGGAGGGACCACCCUCCAAGGCUAAAUACUACCCGGUGACCGAUAGCGCAUAGUACCGUGAGGGAAAGGUGAAAAGAACCCCGGGAGGGGAGUGAAAUAGAACCUGAAACCCUGUACUUACAAACUGUGGAAGCACAUUUCUUGUGUGACCGCGUACUUUUUGUAGAACGGGCCAACGAGUUACGUUAUGCAGCAAGGUUAAGUACUUCAAGUAUGCAGCCGCAGCGAAAGCGAGUUUUAACUGAGCGUUUAGUUGCAUGACGUAGACCCGAAACCGGGUGACCUAUCCAUGAGCAGGUUGAAGCGAAAGUAAAAUUUCGUGGAGGACCGAACCCACGAGCGUUGAAAAGCUCGGGGAUGACUUGUGGAUAGCGGUGAAAUUCCAAUCGAACCCGGAGAUAGCUGGUUCUCCCCGAAAUAGCUUUAGGGCUAGCCUCAGAUUCAGAGAUACGGAGGUAGAGCACUGAAUGUCCUAGGGGGUAUUGCACCUACCGAAGACUAUCAAACUCCGAAUGCCGUCAUCUUUUAUCUGGGAGUCAGACCGUGGGUGAUAAGAUUCACGGUCGAGAGGGCAACAGCCCAGACCGUCGGCUAAGGUCCCCAAAUGUAGGUUAAGUGGUAAAGGAUGUGGGAUUGCACAGACAACCAGGAUGUUGGCUUAGAAGCAGCCACUCAUUCAAAGAGUGCGUAAUAGCUCACUGGUCGAGUGAUCCUGCGCCGAAGAUUUCCGGGGCUAAAACCUACUACCGAAGCCACGGCAUCAUUUAUGAUGGGUAGGGGAGCUUUCUUUACUGGGCAGAAGCAUGACCGUAAGGACAUGUGGACUGUAAAGAAGUGAGAAUGUUGGCAUGAGUAGCGAGAUGUGGGUGAGAAUCCCACAGGCCGUAAACCCAAGGUUUCCAGGGGAAGGUUCGUCCUCCCUGGGUUAGUCGGGACCUAAGCCGAGGCCGAAAGGCGUAGGUGAUGGACAACAGGUUGAAAUUCCUGUACCGCCAAUAAGCGUUUGAGAAAUGGGAUGACACAGUAGGACAGGAUGAGCGUGCUGUUGGUUAUGCACGUCCAAGCACUGAGGCAGUAUCCGGAGGCAAAUCCACGGAUAUAAUGCUGGGGUGUGACGGGGAGCGAAAUUUAGUAGCGAAGCAUCUGCAUUCACACUGUCGAGAAAAGUCUCUAUCGAGUUUAAAGGCGCCCGUACCGCAAACCGACACAGGUGGGUGAGGAGAGUAUCCUAAGGCCAGCGAGAGAACUGUUGUUAAGGAACUCGGCAAAAUGACCCCGUAACUUAGGGAUAAGGGGUGCCAUCGAAAGAUGGCCGCAGAGAAUAGGCCCAAGCGACUGUUUACCAAAAACAUAGGUUUCUGCUAAGUCGCAAGACGAUGUAUAGGAGCUGACGCCUGCCCGGUGCUGGAAGGUUAAGGGGAUCUGUUAGAGCAAUCGAAGCAGUGAACUUAAGCCCCAGUAAACGGCGGCCGUAACUAUAACGGUCCUAAGGUAGCGAAAUUCCUUGUCGGGUAAGUUCCGACCCGCACGAAAGGCGUAACGAUUUGGGCACUGUCUCAACAACAGACUCGGUGAAAUUGUAAUUCCGGUGAAGAUGCCGGAUACCUGCGACAGGACGGAAAGACCCCAUGGAGCUUUACUGUAGCUUGGCAUUGGGUCUUGGUACUACAUGUACAGCAUAGGUGGGAGGCUUUGAUUCCAGGACGCCAGUUUUGGAUGAGCCACCGUUGGGAUACCACCCCUGUAGUACUGGGACUCUAACCAGAGGCCUUGAAUCAGGUCUUGGGACACUGUCAGGCGGGCAGUUUGACUGGGGCGGUCGCCUCCCAAAAGGUAACGGAGGCGCUCAAAGGUUCUCUCAGCACGGUCGGAAAUCGUGCAUAGAGUGUAAAGGCAUAAGAGAGCUUGAUUGCAAGACAUACAGGUCGAGCAAGGACGAAAGUCGGACUUAGUGAUCCGGUGGUUCUGAGUGGAAGGGCCAUCGCUCAACGGAUAAAAGCUACCCUGGGGAUAACAGGCUUAUCUCCCCCAAGAGUCCACAUCGACGGGGAGGUUUGGCACCUCGAUGUCGGCUCAUCACAUCCUGGGGCUGUAGUAGGUCCCAAGGGUUGGGCUGUUCGCCCAUUAAAGUGGUACGCGAGCUGGGUUCAGAACGUCGUGAGACAGUUCGGUCCCUAUCCGUCGCAGGCGUAGGAAAUUUGAGAGGAUCUGCCCUUAGUACGAGAGGACCGGGGUGGACGUACCGCUGGUGUACCAGUUGUCUCGCCAGAGGCAUGGCUGGGUAGCUAUGUACGGAACGGAUAAGCGCUGAAAGCAUCUAAGCGCGAAGCCAGCCUUAAGAUAAGAUUUCCCAUUCUUUGGAAGUAAGACCCCAUGAAGACUACGUGGUUGAUAGGUCGGAGGUGGAAGUGCAGUAAUGUAUGUAGCUUACCGAUACUAAUAGGUCGAGGACUUGACCAA
rnacentral:rRNA from 1 species